ensembl:lncRNA
UAUGAAUGAGUAGAUAGGACACGCCCCUUUGAGCUGCGUGCUACAGCGAGGCUAAGCUAGUGGGGGCAAAGUUUCAGUGCAUUCCGUUGAUGUAGACAGCGUGAAAACGGAAACAACAAGUAUGCCGGCUCACUGUGCUGCAUACAAUUACACACUGCGUCGUACGAUUGAGACAAGGAAACUUGGAAUGACUUUUCAUAGGUUUCCCAGAGACUAUGGGUUGAGGAGGAAGUGGAAGUUUGUCGGCUUAGACCUGGUGUCAUUCCAUCAGUGUUAAACUUCCCGGCUCAUCUUGGAAGAGUACGUACCAGAAAGACCACGACCAAGCAGCCUUGAGAUCUGAGGCAGCGUCUCCCUGAGGUCCCUCUCUAUCUCCCCACACAUCCACCAACCACUGGAACACAUCUCCAAAGUUCUGCCGGGCCAGCUCAGCUUCCCCUCAGAAGAAGUGCCGCCACCUGCCAGAUGAAGGAGCCUUUUGAGAGGCAGCUGGCAUCGUGAUUGGACUGUACUUUGGUCUGUUCCAAUCCAGCUUCAGCUCCAGAGACGGCAGGCGGGACGAGUCAACGGAGGCCGGGUGGACGAAGGCAUGCAGCUGAGUACAAUCCAGAAAACAACAGAGGAGGAGUGCAGCUGCCCAGAGCCAGAACAACCAGAGUAGCAUGACCAAAGAACUACAGACUCUUCACAACCUGCUCAAACUCUUGGUACAGGACCUCACCACACGGGUCAAGAAGGUUUCUGUCUCAUUUCUACUCUGAAGAUCACCUUCUCCUGCUCAAACUGCUGACAAAUGUUUCUGCUGCUCUAAAGUCUGCUCUCCAGAACUUCCUAAAAACUCUCAAAGUCUCUUCUGCUGCAGGUUGCUUUGUAGAACUGUUGCAGAAACCUCUACUAAACCACAUGGAGGGGCCUCAAGAUAGUCGUCCAAAUGAAACCAUACAAAAACCAAACUAGCACAACCCAAACGCUAAAGUCUCCUGCAGCCUACCAGAGAACCUCUGAGAACAGAGAAUCAGGACAGGAACUCUUACCUUCUGGACAACCAACGCUGGUUCACAAACAAGAAUACAGAAUGUGUCUGACCAAAAACCUCUGAAGACUCACUACAGCCAAGAUAAAGACACAACUCAGCUG